UCUUCUUAAACUCAGUUGGGCAGUGAAGGAAGGAGGGAGAGGAGGAGCCAUACGCCGUCCCCCAAAGGCUCGGCUGCCUCCACUGACAACUUGGGCACAUUCAUGGGCUCUCUGUACUCUUCCCCUGUUCCUGCAGAUGAGUGCAGAUGACGCUAAGCCCACACGCGCUGUCCUCUCUCAGAGGCUAGUGGGAGGAACUCUGGGCAGUGCGGAGACAAAGGCUGAGAACACCUUGAAGAGAGAGCGCAUGAGCACAAGCAGGGGAGCAACAAAGGCAGAGGGAGAAGCAGGCUCCCCGCUAAGCAGCCAGCCUCAAAUUCGGGACUCGAUCUCAAGCCACCCAGGUGUCCCAAGUUUGAUUUCUUUUCAUAACAAGAUCCAGCGAGGGCUCGCAUAGCUCAGAAAAGGCUGCAACACGGAUGGAGGUCAAGCCUGUGAGGAACGGCGGACCCUUAACAGAGUUGACUUGCAACCCGUCUGGUUGGAAGCUGAUCACAGCAAUCAAAUUGUCACUGCAAAUAAAGGCGUGAGUCUUAGCCUUUCUCCUUCUGGCCUUUCCAGCUAAGAUUCCAAGUCGGAAAAUCUCUUUUGUGACAACUGAUUUAGGAAAGAGCAAAAGCGUGUAAAAGGGACACCGUGAACUUUUAUAAAAUGUAUAUACUUCUUUUGAAUGUGUGUUAGAUGGUGCUCUGUGUGUUACAUGGUGUUACAGGGUUACAUGCUGGAUGGUUUUUUGGGUUUUUUGUGUGUGUUUCUUUUCUUUUAAAGAUUUUAUUUGUUUGUUAGAGAGAGAGAGGGAGAGAGAGCGAGCACAGGCAGGCAGAGAGGCAGGCAGAAGCAGAGGGAGAAGCAGGCUCCCUGCCGAGCAAGGAGCCGACAUGGGACUUGAUCCCAGGACGCUGGGAUCAUGACCCGAGCCAAAGGCAGCUGCUCAACCAUUUUACCUAAAAAAUGAUCAUUCAUUUUUGUUUUGUUUUGUCUUGAUUUGGGUGUUUGGUUUUUUUUUUUUUUAAAUUCAAUUAACCAGGCCACCUGGGUGGUUGAGUUGGUUAAGCAUCUGCCUUCUGCUCAGGUCAUGAUCCCCCUGUCCUGGGUUAGAGCCCUGCAUCAGGCUCCUUGGUCAGCGGGGCGUCUGCGUCUCCCUCUGCCUGCCACUCCCCUGCUUGUGCUCUCUCCAUUCUUCUCUGACCAAAAAACAAACAAACAGACCAAAAAAAAAAAAAAAAAAAAACCUUGAAAAAAAAUUUUUUCUAAAUUCAAUUAGCCAACAUAUAGUACAUCAUUAGCUUUUGUUGCAAUGUUCAAUGAUUCUUAGUUGUGAGUAACAGCCAGUGCUCAUCACAUCACAUGCCCUUCUUAAUGCCCAUCGCCCCACCCACCUUCCUUUCCACAACCCUCAGUUUGUUUCUCAGAGUCAAGGGUCUCAUAUAGUUCGUCUCCCUCUCUAAUAUUUCUUGCAUUUCAGUUUUCCCUCCCUUAUGUUCCACAUAUGAGUGAAACCAUCUGAUAAUUCCCUUUCUCUAAUUGACUUGCACAAAAAUGAUCAUUCUUGAACUGAGGGAUAUUCUACAGGGUCUGUGCUCUUCAUAAUGCCCAUGAAACCCUGACAGACUGUUCCAGGUCAAAAGAAGGUAGGGAGACUUGACAUCAGAAUGCCAAUGAUGUGUAUUCCGAGUUUUUCUUUUGCUAGAAAAGACGGUCAGGGAACAAUUGGUGACAUAUGAGUAGGGUCUGGGUAUUAAACAGUAGUACUGCACCAAUCUUAGCUUCCUGACUAUGAUAAUCAUAGAUGAUUCUAUAAGAUAAUAUCCUUAUUUUGGAAUAUUUGGAUAAUUAUUUGGAUUAAUACUUAUCUUUGAAGUAUUUAGAGUUAAAGAUAGCAGCAUGUCUGUAAUUUACUCUCAUACAAUUCAGUAAAAAAGUAGAUACAGAAAGAGAGAGAAAAGUGAAGCUAAUGUAAUCAAAUGUUAAUAUUUGAGGGCUCUAUCAGGAAAGCCUUUGUUCCAUAAGUCGAAAAUUAAGCCAAAUAAAAAGUUUUUAAUAAUAAAAAAUAGCUUUUAAAACCUUAAAAAAUGUGUAAGAUGGUAUUGUUAACAUUACAUAAAUAUUGCAAGGCACCACUGUAAAUACUUAGAAUAGUUUUAAUUAUUAAUAAUACGUUUUGCUUUUCAUGAUACACAUUAAAGUUCUAAGGGCAGAAAACAAAUUAGCAUAUAUAAUAAUUAAUGAUCUAACUGGGUGUGGUGCAUAAACAAUGAAUUUUGAAACACUGAAAAGAAAUAAAAUAAAAUGGAAAAAAUGAAAAAAAAUAAUGAUCUAACUGGUCUUAUGCUAUGAACAUCAGCAAUUGGUUCAGUCAUCAGUAGCAGGAAUUGUCCCCCAAGAGAACUGAUGUACACAUCUGGACCUCACAUGGAUGAUAAAAACACAUGACAUAGAGGAGAAUUUAAAGGAAUAUCAUUUUAUCACUGUACAUUUGAAUAUCACUCUUUCUCCUCUACAUGUUUUUGCCUAUAUUAUUUCAUUUUAUACCUUGCCUUCAUGUGCUAUCUUAGACUUGCAGUUUUUAAGUACACGUUUCACAGCUAGAUGAGAUUGUGUGUGUGUGUGUGUGUGUGUGUGU